rnacentral:lncRNA from 12 species
CUGUCAGAGCCUUCAGCACCAGCCUUGCCGGCAGCAGAAACACAAACCAAGGAUCACUGGCAAACCAAGACAUACAUCCUGCUUUCCCUGAAGCUCCCUUCACCUGGUCUCACACCAGCAGCCAGCAGCUGUGUACCCAGCAAGAUAUGUACCCAAAAGGCUGAGAGUCUGCUCCCAAACUCUGA